rnacentral:rRNA from 1 species
AGCUCUGUAAGCGUAUACCAAAGUUGUUGCAGUUAAAACGCUCGUAGUCGGACUUUGGCGGUUCCGGGAGUGCGCCUCGUCGUGGGGACGCUUCGCAGGGACUGCUUUUGUGGGUUUAGCACGGGAUGAGGGCUGUUUAAUCGGUAACGUCCUUGUGCAACCACUGUUUACUGUGAGAAAAUCAGAGUGCUCAAAGCAGGCAUUUGCCGUGAAUGUAUUAGCAUGGAAUAAUAGAAUAGGACUCUGUCUUAUUUUGUUGGUUUGUUAAGGCUGAGUAAUGAUUAAGAGGGACAGUUGGGGGCAUUUGUAUUUCGGCGCUAGAGGUGAAAUUCUUAGAUUGCCGAAAGACAAACUGCUGCGAAAGCGUCUGCCAAGGAUGUUUUCAUUGAUCAAGAACGAA